rnacentral:rRNA from 1 species
UACAGAGGGUGCGAGCGUUAAUCGGAAUUACUGGGCGUAAAGCGUGCGUAGACGGUUCUGUAAGUCGGAUGUGAAAUCCCCGGGCUCAACCUGGGAAUUGCAUUCGAGACUGCAAAGCUUGGGUGCGGAAGAGGGAAGCGGAAUUUCCGGUGUAGCGGUGAAAUGCGUAGAUAUUCGCAAGAACACCAGUGGCGAAGGCGGCUCACUGGCCCGAUACUGACGCUGAGGCACGAAAGCGUGGGGAGCAAACAGG